UGAGGAAUAUUGGUCAAUGGACGAGAGUCUGAACCAGCCAAGUAGCGUGAAGGAUGAAGGUUCUAUGGAUUGUAAACUUCUUUUAUAAGGGAAUAAAACCUCCCACGUGUGGGAGCUUGUAUGUACCUUAUGAAUAAGCAUCGGCUAACUCCGUGCCAGCAGCCGCGGUAAUACGGAGGAUGCGAGCGUUAUCCGGAUUUAUUGGGUUUAAAGGGAGCGCAGACGGGGGAUUAAGUCAGUUGUGAAAGUUUGGGGCUCAACCUUAAAAUUGCAGUUGAUACUGGUUCUCUUGAGUGCAGUUGAGGCAGGCGGAAUUCGUGGUGUAGCAGUGAAAUGCUUAGAUAUCACGAAGAACCCCGAUUGCGAAGGCAGCUUGCUAAACUGUAACUGACGUUCAUGCUCGAAAGUGUGGGUAUCAAACAG
rnacentral:rRNA from 1 species